CAUAUCAAUAAGCGGAGGAAAAGAAACCAACAGGGAUUGCCCCAGUAACGGCGAGUGAAGCGGCAACAGCUCAAAUUUGAAAUCUGGCCCCCAGGGCCCGAGUUGUAAUUUGCAGAGGAUGCUUUUGGCGCGGUGCCUUCCGAGUUCCCUGGAACGGGACGCCAUAGAGGGUGAGAGCCCCGUCUGGUCGGACACCAAGCCAGUGUAAAGCUCCUUCGACGAGUCGAGUAGUUUGGGAAUGCUGCUCUAAAUGGGAGGUAUAUGUCUUCUAAAGCUAAAUACCGGCCAGAGACCGAUAGCGCACAAGUAGAGUGAUCGAAAGAUGAAAAGCACUUUGAAAAGAGGGUUAAACAGUACGUGAAAUUGUUGAAAGGGAAGCGUUUAUGACCAGACUUGGGCCCGGUGAAUCAUCCAGCGUUCUCGCUGGUGCACUUUGCCGGGCUCAGGCCAGCAUCAGUUCGUCGCGGGGGAUAAAAGCUUCGGGAACGUGGCUCAAUCGGGAGUGUUAUAGCCCGUUGCAUAAUACCCUG
rnacentral:rRNA from 1 species